rnacentral:misc_RNA from 1 species
GUUAGAUGAUCUGUGUUUUUGGGGUUUUUCCCCUGGGAUUUGGUCUGCAAAUUAUCAGUACUAUUAAGGAACAUGUUUGGUUUUGCAAAUUGCAAGUUCUAGCAAUUGCCUUAUUAUUGGAAUUGCUAUUUUUGUGAUGUCAUUUAAGUCAGAUGAGGUUGCUGCCGUCAUGAAAGAUUUUGAUGAGCCUGGAUCCCUUGCCCCAACUGGUUUGCAUCUUGGUGGCACAAAGUACAUGGUGAUCCAGGGAGAGCCCGGAGC